rnacentral:rRNA from 1 species
AUUGAACGCUGGCGGCAUGCUUUACACAUGCCAGUCGAACGGUAACAGGCCUUCGGGUGCUGACGAGUGGCGAACGGGUGAGUAAUGCAUCGGAACGUACCCAGAGGUGGGGGAUAACGCAGCGAAAGCUGUGCUAAUACCGCAUGUGAUCUGAGGAUGAAAGCGGGGGACCGAGCAGCAAUGUUUGGCCUCGCGCCUUUGGAGCGGCCGAUGUCGGAUUAGCUAGUUGGUGGGGUAAAGGCCUACCAAGGCGACGAUCCGUAGCUGGUCUGAGAGGACGACCAGCCACACUGGGACUGAGACACGGCCCAGACUCCUACGGGAGGCAGCAGUGGGGAAUUUUGGACAAUGGGCGCAAGCCUGAUCCAGCAAUGCCGCGUGCGGGAAGAAGGCCUUCGGGCUGUAAACCGCUUUUGGCAGGAACGAAACGGUGUCCGCUAAUACCGGGCGCUAAUGACGGUACCUGCAGAAUAAGCACCGGCUAACUACGUG